UGCGUAGGUGGUUUCUUAAGUCAGAGGUGAAAGGCUACGGCUCAACCGUAGUAAGCCUUUGAAACUGGGAAACUUGAGUGCAGGAGAGGAGAGUGGAAUUCCUAGUGUAGUGGUGAAAUGCGUAGAUAUUAGGAGGAACACCAGUUGCGAAGGCGGCUCUCUGGACUGUAACUGACACUAAGGCACGAAAGCGUGGGGAGCAAACA
rnacentral:rRNA from 1 species